AAGGUAGCGAAAUUCCUUGUCGGGUAAGUUCCGACCCGCACGAAUGGUGUAACGACUUGUGAGCUGUCUCAACAGGGGGCCCGGUGAAAUUGAAGUAUGGGUGAAGAUGCCCAUUACCCGCGACUGGACGGAAAGACCCCGUAGAGCUUUACUGCAGCCUGAUAUUGAGUUUCGGUAACUGAUGCACAGGAUAGGUGGGAGUCUGAGAGACACGGGUUUCGGCUCGUGUGGAGACGGUGUUGGGAUACCACUCUUCGGUUACUGAAAUUCUAACAUAGCUCUGUGAAACCAGAGGAUGGACAGUGUCAGGUGGACAGUUUGACUGGGGCGGUCGCCUCCGAAAGAGUAACGGAGGCGCCCAAAGGUUCCCUCAGCGCGGCCGGAAAUCGCGCGAAGAGUGUAAAGGCAGAAGGGAGCUUGACUGCGAGUCAAACACGACGAGCAGGUACGAAAGUAGGGCUUAGUGAUCCGGUGGUACCGAGUGGAAGGGCCAUCGCUCAACGGAUAAAAGCUACCCUGGGGAUAACAGGCUAAUCUCUCCCAAGAGUCCAUAUCGACGGGGAGGUUUGGCACCUCGAUGUCGGCUCAUCACAUCCUGGGGCUGAAGUCGGUCCCAAGGGUUGGGCUGUUCGCCCAUUAAAGUGGUACGUGAGCUGGGUUCAGAACGUCGUGAGACAGUUCGGUCCCUAUCCAUCGCGGGCGCAAGAGAUUUGAAGGGGGCUGCUCCUAGUACGAGAGGACCGGAGUGGACGAACCGCUGGUGUACCAAUUAUCCCGCCAGGGGUACAGUUGGGUAGCUACGUUCGGAAAGGAUAAACGCUGAAAGCAUCUAAGCGUGAAACCAGCCUUAAGAUGAGAUCUCUCAUAGAGCAAUCUAGUAAGACACCUUAAAGAAGAUGAGGUUGAUAGGUCGGGAGUGUAAGUACAGCAAUGUAUUGAGCGGACCGAUACUAAUAUGUCGAGGGCUUGACUUA
rnacentral:rRNA from 1 species